rnacentral:lncRNA from 1 species
CAGUUAUUAAGUGGCAAAGACCGGAUUUGAAUCAAGAUAUCUGAUUUUUAAAAUUCACCUUGUUUCAAAGCAUUUUACUUCACCUAAGAAGUUAAUACACCUCACAACCAGAUAACUCCUUCUUUUCAAUUAGACUGUGUCUGUAUCUGGGAUCAGUUGCGAAGCAGAAGUAUGACGUGACUAAGGCCACCGCUGGGUUAGGAUACCCCCAUCCAAGGUCAGGUUCUUAACUUCACUUAGCUCUGAAGACUUACGAUUAGUUUUUCCUCUCCCAUUUUUUGGGUAGCCCUUUCUCUUCUUUUCUGUGGAAAAAUUUGUAACUUACCAGAACAGUUCACAAUAUGACAACAUUGUAGUGGUGACAUCACAGAGACAGAAGGAGGAAGAAUGGCAACCCUUGGACUCCUGGGGAUGUGGGAGCUCCUUGACCACAUGUGGUACCUCUCUUUCCUGAUCCCAGAUUGAGAGCUGUACUAGCCUGGCAUGCAGACAGCAGCUUUAGAAUCAGAUCUGCCUUCUGGCGGCUUCCCACCUAGGAGCCAUGGGACCUUUGUGAAGUCACCAAUUGUGCUGUGGAUGCUUCAUUUGUGAAGGAGAACAGGACUGCCUUAUGAGGAAACUGAGGUACAGAUGGGAAACUUGCUCAAGUUCACACAGCAAUUAAGUGAUCAAGUCCAAGAGCAAAACCAGGCAGGCUGGCUCCAGAGCUCACGAUAGUCCACCACUGCUUUCCACCAUCACUACGGAAUCAAGUCCAUGAGGAUACUCACCUUAUGUCAGUUGCCUAAGUUGGAAAUUAUAGAAUCUUCAAAUUGGAAGGGACGUUAUCAUCCAAGAUUUCAACUUUCUACUCACUGCAAAAUCCCUUCUGGAACUUCCCAGAUUGAUGAAUUUUCAUCAGCUCUGCUUGAGUACUCCCAGUGACUUGGAAAAAAAACACUGUAAUAUGGAUAUGAAAUAUAAACUGUUCAUGGAUAAAUUAUUGCAUAAUAAAAACAUGCCUAAUGGCUACACUCCCCUAA